GAUGAACGCUGGCGGCGUGCCUAAUACAUGCAAGUCGAGCGGACGGACGAGAAUCUUGCUUCGCUGAUGUUAGCGGCGGACGGGUGAAUAACACGAGUAUAACCUACCUAUAAGACUGGGAUAACUUCGGGAAACCGUAUCUAAUACCGGAGAAGAUUUUGAACCGCAGGGUUCAUAAGUGAAAUACGGUCGUGCUGGCACUUAUAGAUGGAUCCGCGCUGCUUUAGCGAGUUGGUAAGUUAACGGCUUACCAAGGCAACGAUGCAUAGCCGACCUGAGAGGGUGAUCGGCCACACUGGAACUGAGCCACGGUCCAGACUCCUACGGGAGGCAGCAGUAGGGAAUCUGCGGCAAUGGGCGAAAGCCUGACGGAGCAACGCCGAGUGAGUGAUGAAGGUCUUCGGAUCGUAAAACUCUGUUAUUAGGGAAGAACAUAUGUGUAAGUAACUGUGCACAUCUUGACGGUACCUAAUCAGAAAGCAACGGCUAACUACGUG
rnacentral:rRNA from 1 species